AGUGAACGCUGGCGGUAGGCCUAACACAUGCAAGUCGAACGGCAGCACAGUAAGAGCUUGCUCUUACGGGUGGCGAGUGGCGGACGGGUGAGGAAUACAUCGGAAUCUACUUUUUCGUGGGGGAUAACGUAGGGAAACUUACGCUAAUACCGCAUACGACCUACGGGUGAAAGCAGGGGAUCUUCGGACCUUGCGCUAUUGAAUGAGCCGAUGUCGGAUUAGCUAGUUGGCGGGGUAAAGGCCCACCAAGGCGACGAUCCGUAGCUGGUCUGAGAGGAUGAUCAGCCACACUGGAACUGAGACACGGUCCAGACUCCUACGGGAGGCAGCAGUGGGGAAUAUUGGACAAUGGGCGCAAGCCUGAUCCAGCCAUACCGCGUGGGUGAAGAAGGCCUUCGGGUUGUAAAGCCCUUUUGUUGGGAAAGAAAAGCAGAAGGUUAAUACCCCGCUGUUCUGACGGUACCCAAAGAAUAAGCACCGGCUAACUUCGUG
rnacentral:rRNA from 1 species